rnacentral:lncRNA from 1 species
GCGGGUGGCUGCGGACCGCACCGCGGGGAGGCGGAAAGUUUCUCCGCCCGCCUCGUCCUGCGAGCCGGCGUCGCCCGCUGCGGGCCCUGCCCGGCCGAGCAGUUCCGCAAAAAGAGAGGAUCGCACAGCAAAAUACAGUGGAAACAAAACCCCAAGCCAGCCGCGAGGCGCAGGGGGCAGUGGACAUAGGACCGGUGCUUGGGGCAGCCCUGAAUGUCCGUGGAAGUGGACCUGCUGUCAGAGUGGCCUGAGCCAAGCGUGCACGCUGGAGCCCGGAGGAGAAGGAGGAGGAGGAGCACCAGCCAUGCUUCGGAAAGACCUGGACGCCACUGGCAGCCAGCGCGUGCUCAGACUUAGGGGAGGAAGACUUCGGGGCACUGGGCGGAAGGGGGUUCCUGCUUCUUUCUUCCUUCCUCCUGCCGCCUGCCUCCAAGGCAAGGUCUUUCCCAGCUGGAUGGCUCUCUGGAUUGUGUAGCACCUAAGACAGGAAAGAGAGAGAAAGGAAAACAAAUCAAGUGAAACCUCUCCUGUGUGCUCAGCCUGCAGGGGCUUCGGGGCUGGGGGUGGCUGGAGUGGGAAGCUCGGUGCUCGCACAGGCGGGUUGGAGAGUGAUUCUCCACAGGAAACCUGAGAAACGUUUAUUCAGCUAACUGACACUAAACAAGGUGGGGCAGCCCGGGUGGGCCAAGGAGCCAAGCUGGUCCUGUUGGGACACACUUUCCUGCGGGGGACAUAUCCACAUCGGCAUUGAACUCAGGACCUUGUGCUCGUGAGGCAGGUGGUGGCACCACUGAGCUAAAUCCCCAGGUACUCACAAAUCCAAGCUCCAGAAGGAACCCACGUCGUGGUCAGAAAUAGACCGGAGGGGACUGCGCGGGCUGUGCAGGGCUGAGGGGAGAUCGUGUUCUGUGCCCUGUCUGUCCAGUGCUGCUCAGUCGCUCCCAUUACCCCAGAACUCAGAGUGGACGGAGCUGCAGAUGCAAAGUCUUUGCUGUCACCAAGCUCAUAUUCUGGUGGAGACACACACAGUAAACAAUCUCAUUUAAAAAUAAGAGUCUG